rnacentral:misc_RNA from 1 species
GCAAACUUGGUCAUUUAGAGGAAGUAAAAGUCGUAACAAGGUUUCCGUAGGUGAACCUGCGGAAGGAUCAUUAAUAUGUUUGAAUUUCCAAUUCAUCACACAUCCGCUGUGUAUCGGUAACUGUUGCUUCCGUGGCUCAUGCUGUUCUGCAACACAAGGCAGUACGCCGUUGCAACCAUGGUCACGGAAGGUUAUCUUCACUCUCAAUUGUGAAUUUUGUCAGAGUAGUUGCUAUUGAGUCGUAUUUUUCAAAACUUUCAACAAUGGAUCUCUUGGUUCUCGCAUCGAUGAAGAACGCAGC